rnacentral:lncRNA from 1 species
CGCGGGACUUCCUCACUGCGCAUUUACCUGCUGUACCAGCAGGGCUGUCUGCAGCCGUUACUUACGCUGUGCUGCUGGGUUGCAGAGCAGUUGCCACGCUCCCUGGACAGCUCCCGUCAGCUUGCGGGGAUCGGGCUGCGUAGGGGGCCCCUGGGCGCUAAGGUCGCGCCCCCUCUGCACGAGGGCCCCUGUGAUCUGGCUGCGGUCCGGGCCCAGCGCUGUCAGCUCCAGCAACCGUGCGCGCCCUUCGAGCAAGGCCGCUUCCUCCCAGCUGUGCAGCAGCUCUGCCCGCCCCAGAGUCUGCUCCAGCAGGGCCCUCCUGGGGACAGCAAGGCCUCCAGCAGCUUGGGGAGUCGGGCUGGGGAGGGGUCAGACCCUGCCCUUAGACGGGAUUUUUCUUUUCUCUGGGUGUGUGUGUGUUGUGUGGUAAUGGGGAUUGAACCCAAGGCCUUCACAUUGAGCUAUGUGUCCAGCCUUAAAUAAUUUUUUGCGGGGGGACAGGGUCUCACUAAGGUGCUCAGGUUGGGCUUGAAUCUUUGAUCCUCCUCCCUCAGCCUUCCAAAGUGCUGGGGUUAUAAGGAUUCACCACUAUGCCCAGGUUAGAUUUUUAUUAUUUGUCUGUUUUCCUUAGUAUUGUGUACGUCCUUUUCACUGCUAAGUUUCUAGCAGCUAGAAUGGUGCAUGGGACAAAGUAGACAAGAUAUAUGUCCAUUUUGUGAAUAAGCUAAUCAGAGGCUAUCUAGAAAGGACAAUGUUUUACCAAAAGGAUGAAUCGCUGAUGAUGGGAUUUCAAACACACACAGAAGGCUGAUCUUUUUAGAGGGAGCCCUGAAUCCAUAAACCACCUUCUCCUCUGUGGCUGGGAUGGGCACAUAUAAAGGUGGGGUUGUGAAAGGAAG